rnacentral:rRNA from 1 species
AUUGAACGCUGGCGGCAGGCCUAACACAUGCAAGUCGAACGAGUGGCGGAAGGGUGAGUAAUGUCUGGGAAAUUGCCUGACGGAGGGGGAUAACUACUGGAAACGGUAGAAAAUACCGCAUACCAUUGGUUGUGCUUAGAUUGGAUUAGCUAGUAGGUGGGGUAAAGGCUCACCAAGGCAACGAUCCCUAGCUGGUCCGAGAGGAUGACCAGCCACACUGGAACUGAGACACGGUCCAGAAUCCUACGGGAGGCAGAAGUGGGGAAUAUUGCACAAUGGGCGCAAGCCUGAUGCAGCCAUGCCGCGUGUAUGAAGAAGGCCUUCGGGUUGUAAAGUACGUUCAGCGGGGAGGCGUUACCCGCAGAAGAAGCACCGGCUAACUCCGUGCCAGCAGCCGCGGUAAUAC